CUCAUGUCUUCGUUUUCCAUCGGUGUGUUUCUCAUUCAGUCCGUAGUGAUCCAAACUGAUACAAACUGAUUUCUAGCAAAUAUGUAUGCGGUGAAAUAUACACACAACUAUGUCUAUCGAAGACGUGAUUGCACGAAAGUGGUGUUAAGGUCUGUGUCCACCGAUUCGUCAACCAUAGGGAUGCUCAAAUUUAUGCACAACUACAUAUACAGGAGCCAUAAGCGCACCAAAAUCGUGCUAAAUAGAGUACCCAGAAGCGAAGCCACCAAGUCAAUUAGUACGAUUGCAUUUGCAACAAACUGAUGCAGUUGAACAAAGAAGAGGAACAGAUUCGGAGAUGGGACGCAGCCCUGCAAAUUGAAAACCUUAGAGCAGAGAAGUUAUCCAGUAAAGAGGACAACUAUGUUGAUAAGAACCUGGCGUCUAACAACAAUAAGGUACGAUGGACGUCUGGAAAACGUGGUUUCUUCUUGGAAAACAAUUAUCCAUGUCUAUCCAUAUAUGGGGAGAUGGACAUGGACUUGGACUACAGGAUUAAGUAUUUAUGUAGAAAUGAUGUGCUGAUCGACUUCCAUGAUAUGAAGGUUUAUCUCUUUCAUGUUUGAUAUAUGUUUAUUAAAAUUUUCUAUCUUAUUACAAGCCUUUAUGAGAACUGCAGUUUCUAUGAUGAUGACAUCCCAUUGAGGAUGAGCAAAUCAUUACUGAGGAAGGGGAAAUAAAAUAUGUUGUGACUCGGAGAAAGAUCGGCAAAUGGGAGACCGGGUAUAUCUUAGUUUGCAUCACGGGAGUGAAUGGAAACAAAAGCACAAGAUUGUUGUACGUGCUCCUCAUUGGCGACACAUGCUCCUCAUAAACACUUUUACAUUCUUAAACGUGGUGAAGAAAAUGUACCCUAAAAAUGGAUAAAUAGCAGCUGCGACAAUUGAGAGGUGUUUAGAUUCUUUAUAGAGCUCUAUGCACUGUACUGCGACAACAUCGUAUUAUGUAUUUUAAAUGUUCUUCAAAAAUUAGAUCUGUGUAUUUUUUUACGUUUUAUGUGAAAGUUUGGAGAUGUAUGCACUAUAC